rnacentral:rRNA from 1 species
CACCUCAAAACUAGCCCCUUCAACACAAAGCAACAUAUAAUUAUAAAUAAGCCCUAAUACACAUAAACAACAAAACAAAUCAUUUUCCCCCCUAAGUACGGGUGACAGAAAAGGAAACAGGAGCUAUAGAAUAAGUACCGCAAGGGAAAAAUGAAAGAGAAAUGAAAUAACUUAUUCAAGUAAAUAAAAGCAGAGAUAAAACCUCGUACCUUUUGCAUCAUGACUUAGCAAGUAAACAUCAAGCAAAGAGCACUUAAGUUUGAGCACCCGAAAUCAAGUGAGCUACUCCGAGGCAGCCUAAUAGGGCAAACCCGUGUCUGUGGCAAAAGACUGGGAAGAACUCCGAGUAGAGGUGAUAGACCUACCGAACUGGAUUAUAGCUGGUUGCCUGAGAAAUGGAUAGAAGUUCAGCCUGCUUACUUCCCCUUUCACCCAGAUUCAAUCUUUAACGAUUAAGAGAAGUAACUAGAGUUAGUCAAAAGGGGUACAGCCCUUUUGACACAAGAUACAACUUUUUCAGGAGGGUAAAGAUCAUAUCAAUACAAGGCCCAAUGCCUAAGUGGGCCUAAAAGCAGCCACCUUAUAAGAAAGCGUUAAAGCUCAAGCAUUUAAAUAACCUUAAAUUCAGAUAACCUCUCUUAACCCCCUAAUAAUAUCAGGCCAUCCCACAACCGCUGAGGGAGGGAUUAUGCUAACAUGAGUAAUAAGAAGGCUAAGACCUUCUCCUUCCACAAGUGUAAUUCGGAGCGAACUCACACCGAAAAAUAACGGCCCCAAGCCCAGAGGGGACUGAAGACAUAUAAACAAGAAAACCCGUCAUCUACGCACCGUUGACCUUACACCAGUGUGCUAACAAGGAAAGACUAAAUGGAAAAGAAGGAACUCGGCAAACAUAUUAUAGCCUCGCCUGUUUACCAAAAACAUCGCCUCUUGUCCUAUUAAAAUAAGAGGUCCCGCCUGCCCUGUGACUAUAUGUUUAACGGCCGCGGUAUUUUGACCGUGCGAAGGUAGCGCAAUCACUUGUCUUUUAAAUAAAGACCUGUAUGAAUGGCAUGACGAGGGCUUGACUGUCUCCUUAUCCAAGUCAAUGAAAUUGAUCUUCCCGUGCAGAAGCGGGUAUAGCAACAUAAGACGAGAAGACCCUAUGGAGCUUUAGAUAAAGGGUAAUUUACGUAAGAGACUUAGUUAAAAGAGUAAACCGAGUAAGCUUUACCUAAAUAUCUUUGGUUGGGGCGACCACGGGGUAAAACACAACCCCCGCGAGGAAUGGGUUAAAACCUUAAAACCACGAACACCAGUUCUAAGUAUCAAAACAUUUGACCUUAAGAUCCGGUAUAACCGAUCAACGAACAGAGUUACCCUAGGGAUAACAGCGCAAUCCUCUUUCAGAGUCCCUAUCGACAAGAGGGUUUACGACCUCGAUGUUGGAUCAGGACAUCCCAAUGGUGCAGCCGCUAUUAAAGGUUCGUUUGUUCAACGAUUAAAGUCCUACGUGAUCUGAGUUCAGACCGGAGUAAUCCAGGUCAGUUUCUAUCUAUGGUAUGCUCUUCCCCAGUACGAAAGGACCGAGAAGAAGGGGCCAAUGCUUAAAGUAAGCCUCACCCCAACCUAAAGAAAACAUCUAAAAUAGGUAGCGGGGCAUAACCCCUACUCGUAAAUAACGACAU